AAUAAGGCGUUGACGAGAACUAGUAGCUAGAACCUAUAUCUUCAAAGAGAGCCAGUGGUUGGUGCAAACUGGCGGUAUACUCUAGCGAAUCCAUCUCAGAGCACGGCAUGGAAACUCUCAUACAUUGAGAGGUGUAAAUGUCCGUCGGGUUUAAGCCCGUUAUCAAUUUGAGGUGAAAAGCAUUCGUAUGCUUUUAACUAGGGUGGCAACGCGGAAUAGAAACUUCCGUCCCUUUU
rnacentral:ncRNA from 1 species